UUCCGGUUGAUCCCGCCGGACCUGACUGCUAUCGGAUUGAUACUAAGCCAUGCGAGUCUUUGUAGUAAUACAAGGCAGACGGCUCAGUAACGCGUAGUCAACCUACCCUAUGGACGGGAAUAAUCUCGGGAAACUGAGGAUAAUACCCGGCGUACCACCAUUCCUGGAAUGGUUGGUGGUUAAAAUGAUUCGUCGCCGUAGGAUGGGACUGCGACCUAUCAGCUUGUUGGUGAGGUAAUGGCCCACCAAGGCGAUUACAGGUACGGGCUCUGAGAGGAGAAGCCCGGAGAUGGGUACUGAGACAAGGACCCAGGCCCUAUGGGGCGCAGCAGGCGAGAAAACUUUGCAAUGUGCGAAAGCACGACAAGGUUAAUCCGAGUGAUUUCUGCUAAAGAAAUCUUUUGCAAGUCAUAAAACCACUAGUGAAUAAGGGGUGGGCAAGUUCUGGUGUCAGCCGCCGCGGUAAAACCAGCACCUCAAGUGGUCAGGAGGAUUAUUGGGCCUAAAGCAUCCGUAGCCGGCUCUGUAAGUUUUCGGUUAAAUUCAUGUGCUCAACGCAUGGGCUGCCGAAAAUACUGCAUAGCUAGGGAGUGGGAGAGGUAGACGGUACUCAGUAGGAAGGGGUAAAAUCCUUUGAUCUAUUGAUGACCACCUGUGGCGAAGGCGGUCUACCAGAACACGUUCGACGGUGAGGGAUGAAAGCUGGGGGAGCAAACCGGAUUAGAUACCCGGGUAGUCCCAGCUGUAAACGAUGCAGACUCGAUGAUGCAUUGGCAUAUAGCCAGUGCAGUGUCGCAGGGAAGCCGUUAAGUCUGCCGCCUGGGAAGUACGUACGCAAGUAUGAAACUUAAAGGAAUUGGCGGGGGAGCACCACAAGGGGUGAAGCCUGCGGUUCAAUUGGAUUCAACGCCGGG
rnacentral:rRNA from 1 species